CCUUAUCCGCACGCAUAUUUUUUAUUUUUAGUUUAAUAGAAUUUAUUUUCGGUAAAAAUUGAAGUCAUCGGCUCACAUGAUCCAAUUCACGUUCAUCUGCUUUAUGGAUCGGAUGGUUGGUUGAGGGGCGCAACUGUGGUGGCACGCGUAUAACCACACGCAUUAAAAAAAUUCCAACCCUUUCACAACACUUUGCAACUGCAUAUCACGCGCACGUGUAGACACUGUAGCUCCACGUCAGACUGCCCCGCUCUUACUCUCUCACAGGCAUUGCUUCGUAAUUCAUUUAAAAUCCACGCCUACUUCCUUACCAUCAACCCUUUUUUCUAAAACCAUUAGCCGCUACCUUAGAAUCGUCCGUGGACCGUCUGAUAACCCUAGUCGGUGCACACCUACGCGUCACAAUCUUGUUCGUCCGUUCCAACUAUAAAUAACCACCAGUCUCACCUAAUAGAGUAGGAGCAGUGUGUAUCAGUAGAUUUUCUCGCUCUAUCUUACUUAAUUCAACAUUUAUAUCUCGAAGAGAGAGAAAGAAAAUGGGAGAGAUGUUUGAGGGAGGGAGAAGUUGAUUCUGUUACCGGCGGUCUCUAAUUCGCUUGGUGCAGGUCGGGAACUGAUUGGCUUCGCUUGGAUAUAUAUUCUUGUCAGUGCCAAAUGGCGAGAUGUGAUUGGUUGAGAUUGGACAGAAGCGAAUUAGAUCCCGCCUUGCAUCAACUGAAUCGGAGACCGCGGUGAAAGGUUGCAUGGAUCUUGCUUUUUAUCUCCGGUUACCGUUCAGAUCUCAGAUCCCCUGAAUUUGUUAAUUCCUACGGUGAACUCAAUUGAAGUUGCAUUCUGAAUGAUUCUCUGGCAGAUCCCCUGAUUUGUUAAUUCCUGAGCACAAGCAUCAACCUUCAGAUUCAUGCAAUCCGAGCUUUUACCCGUGCAUUGUAAUACUUGGAGCUUGACAUGUUUACAUAAAACGCAGACUUACAAAAGAACUAUGUGUGAAGUAUAGUCGAAUUAUUCCUAUUAUUUACUACUAAAAUAAUUUUUAGAAAUAAAAUGGCUCACCUUUUUGCGUU